CGAUGUCGAUUUGGAGUUUGGGGGCAUGACCCUUGGGCUCCGGAGCUAACGCGUUAAAUCGACCGCUGGGGAGUACGGCCGCAAGGUUAAAACUCAAAUGAAUUGACGGGGGCCCGCACAGCGGUGGAGCAUGUGGUUUAAUUCGAUGCAACGCGAAGAACCUUACCUGGUCUUGACAUCCAUAGAAUCUUUCAGAGAUGAGAGAGUGCCUUCGGGAGCUAUGAGACAGGUGCUGCAUGGCUGUCGUCAGCUCGUGUUGUGAAACGUUGGGUUAAGUCCCGCAACGAGCGCAACCCCUAUCCUUUGUUGCCAGCACGUAAUGGUGGGAACUCAAAGGAGACUGCCGUUGAUAAAGCGGAGGAAGGUGGGGACGACGUCAAGUCAUCAUGGCCCUUACGACCAGGGCUACACACGUGCUACAAUGGCGUAUACAAAGGGAUGCGAAGGUGCGAACUGGAGCGGACCUCACAAAGUACGCCUAAGUCCGGAUUGGAGUCUGCAACUCGACUCCAUGAAGUCGGAAUCGCUAGUAAUCGUGAAUCAGAAUGUCACGGUGAAUACGUUCCCGGGCCUUGUACACACCGCCCGUCACACCAUGGGAGUGGGUUGCACCAGAAGUAGAUAGCUUAACCUUCGGGAGGGCGUUUACCACGGUGUGGUUCAUGACUGGGGUGAAGUCGUAACAAGGUAACCA
rnacentral:rRNA from 1 species